UGAGAGUGGUCAAAGAGCAAAGAGAUA
rnacentral:piRNA from 1 species